rnacentral:miRNA from 1 species
UGACGACGCCGUCACGUACGUGC